AUACGGAGGCUCCGAGCGUUAUCCGGAUUUAUUGGGUUUAAAGGGUGCGCAGACGGCCAUUUAAGUCAGCGGUUAAAUCGUGGGGCUCAACCCCAUUCUGCCGUUGAUACUGGGUGGCUUGAUUGCGGUCGAGGUUGGCGGAAUUCGUUGUGUAGCGGGGAAAUGCAUAGAUAUGACGAAGAACACCGAUUGCGUAGGCAGCUGACCAGACCGCAAAUGACGCUCAUGCACGAAAGUGCGGGGAUCGAACAGGAUUAGAUACCCUGGUAGUCCGCACAGUAAACGAUGAAUACUUGUUUUCGGCGAUAUAAUGUCGGAGGCAAAGCGAAAGCGAUAAGUAUUCCACCUGGGGAGUACGCCGGCAACGGUGAAACUCAAAGGAAUUGGCGGGG
rnacentral:rRNA from 1 species